rnacentral:lncRNA from 1 species
CUCAGACAGAUUGUAAAGCUAGAUCACUGCAUAUGUAGAUAUUUAUGGAAUCUAGAGAAUAAAAACAGUCUACCUCGCCACAACCAUAAAAAAAGUCCUUCGAAGUCGAGGUUGUAUGAUUGCAAUCAAGAAUUAAGUCGCGUGUGAAACGGAAGCUUGAAGUGAAUGAUAUGACUGGAAUUCUUUUGCACAAGAGUUUUAAUUCUGCAGUGGUUGAAGCAGGUAAAUAUGAAUAUCUGACUUAUGUGGAAAAGGAUUGUCGGAAUUAUAUUAAACAAGUGCGACGACUAAGACUUGGUGAAGGAGAUGUCUCAGCAAUACAGUCGUACUUUUCUAGGAUGCAAGCUCAGUGCUCCGGAUUUUACUUUAAUAUGGACUUAAACGAUGAUUCCUGGCUAAAGAAUGUAUUUUGGACAGAUAAUAGGUAUAGGCAAGCUUACAAAGAAUUGGACGAUGUUGUAACAUUUGAUACCACUUAUCUAAUCAACAAGUAUGACAUGCAUUUCGCCCCUUUUGUUGGUGUUAAUCAUCAUGGACAGUCGACAUUGGUCGGUUGUGGUUUGUUGCCCACUGAGGAAACAGAUACUUUUGUGUGACUAUUUAGGACAUAGCUUCAGUGUAUGCACGGAAAGCUCCCCAUGGAAUCAUUACUGAUCGAGAUAGGGCUAUGCAAAAUGCCGUUCAAAUUGUUUUUCUAAUACAAAGCAUAGAUGGUGUUUGUGGCAUAUUCUGAAGAAGUUGCCCGAAAAGUUUGGAUACCACGUCAAUAAGGCUUCCAUUUUUUUGACCGUAAAUGCAUUGGUGUAUGAUUUGCAGUUCGUGGAAGAAUUUGAAAAAGGUUGGAGGGAGAUGAUUGACACAUACAGGUUGCACAAUAAUGAGUGGUUGUCGGGACUAUUUGAUAAUAGAGGUCGUUGGGCUCCUUGCUACCUGAAAACUACAUUUUGGACAGAGAUGUCGACAAUUCAGCGAAAUGAGAAUAUGAAUACAUUCUUCGAUGGGUAUAUUCAUUCGAAGACCUCGUUGAAGCAAUUUGUCGAACAGUAUGAAUGGGCACUGAAGAAUAAGGUAGAGAAGGAGUUUCAGGCCGACUUGAAGUCAUACUCCCAAAUGGUACCAUGCACGAAAAUGUUCGAAAUGGAGAAUCAAUAUCAAAACUGUUACACCGUUUCAAAGUUCAAGAAAGUUCAAGUUGAGCUUACAGAGAAAGUUUAUUUUGACAUCAUUUCCACUUCGGAGGGCAUUUCAUACAUGACCUAUAAAAUACGGGAGGUUAUAAUGGUUAAUGACAGACGAAAGAUGAAAUUAUUAUUUUUUGUCUAAUUUCAACAAGAUAAUUGCAAAAUUAUUUGUAGUUGUCAUUUGUUUAAGUCUCGAGAAAUUCUGUGUUGUCAUGUUAUCGUAGUCCUGAUCCGUAAUGACAUCACGUCUCUGUCGGAUAGGUUUAUACUACGAAAAUGGAGGAGAGACGUUUGUAGAGCACACACCAGGGUUGCAGUGAACUAUGCCAGGUUGGUAUGUAUGCCUGAAUAGUUGAGAUACGAUAAUAUGUGUCAGGCUUUUGCCGAGGUUACAAACCCGCUGCCAUGCGAUCAAGGAGUGGAUAACUUAUCAAAAGCAAGAGUUGAUAACAAUAAAGUCAGGCUCCGGAAGUAAUUGAGCUUCACAUUAAGCUAUUCAGUUAUCCUCACGGUGUAAUGAAUUUAAAAAUAAGGCCAUACAGGAUCAUAUAUCAGGGAGAAGAAAGGGCAUGCCUAAGAAACUUCGGAGAAAAGGCCCUUUGGAGACAUCUUCAAAGAAGGCAAAGGUAUCAUUAUCACGAUUUUUGUCGACUUAAAUAGUAUUUCAUUAUAAUUAGUUUAUAACAUGAACCAUAUGUGCAGGCUACGUCAACUUCAGCCAGAGGAAAGAGACCAACUUCCAAGCACAGAUAUGCUAUCUACACCUAUCGUCCAAGCAUCUCAACAAUAUUCUAAGCAGACACCGUUUUCAUAUUCGCAACUAUUGUUGGUUAGUAUACUUAGUUUAUUAUAAUGAUUUGUUCAAAACUUUAAUUGUAUUUUUAUACGAUGUAGGGUGAUGCAAAAAGUCCUACCUUCCCGCAACACUAGCUAGCCUCAAGUUUCAUUCCCCUCAACAUUAACAAAUGUCAUAUUCAAUGAUCAAGGUUUGCACACGUUUAAAUCUUUACAUCUGCAUUAGUGUACAUUUUAUGCAUGUACUUAUGUUCAUAUUGUACGACAGGUCGUUCGGUUCCAUACAACUAUCCACAUUUCCCACAAGAAGGUGGUCCGGGCAUAUGAACUACAGAUGAAGAAUUUUUGUACUUUUGUUAUUUGUCAUUUGUUGUCUACCAUUUUAGGAUUUUUGGGACAUGUUUUUUACUUCAUGAAGUAAAAAAAAAAUUGCUUAAAAGUGAAAUGUUUCUAUUUUAGUUUGUAGGGAUAAUUCUGUAAAUUGUCUUGGUCCAUUUCCGCUAGGAAGAAAGGGUGCAUUCUUGACCUCAUUAGUUAUUCAUUUCUCGACUGCGAUUGAUACUCAAGCACUUUUAAAUAACAAUUUUAGACCGUG